GAAAAAUGUGAUGCACAUGUUAU
rnacentral:siRNA from 1 species